rnacentral:rRNA from 1 species
ACGUAGGCAGCAAACGUUGUUCGGAGUUACUGGGCGUAAAGAGUACGUAGGCGGUUUGCCAAGUUUGGUGUGAAAUCUCCUGGCUUAACUGGGAGGGUGCGCCGAAUACUGGCAGACUUGAGUAUUGGAGAGGAAAGCGGAAUUCCUGGUGUAGCGGUGAAAUGCGUAGAUAUCAGGAGGAACACCGGUGGUGUAGACGGCUUUCUGGACAAUCACUGACGCUGAGGUACGAAAGCGUGGGUAGCAAACAGGAUUAGAUACCCUGGUAGUCCACGCCCUAAACGAUGCAAACUUGGUGUAGGCAGUUCAGUCUGUCUGUGCCGGAGCUAACGCGUUAAGUUUGCCGCCUGGGGAGUACGGUCGCAAGGCUG